GUUUUUUAUCUAAUUGCGUCAUAAUAAUUAUAAUAAUUAAGUUCUUUGUACAUGACAUUGUGCAUACCAUGUGUGGGCGAGAGAUUCUCACUUGGACAAGGAGGAGGUCUCUCUGGAGCUACAAAAGAAAAUUGCAACAUAUGAAUUGCUGCUCAAUGCCGAACAAGGAGCAGGUGGAAUUGGUCUCUCUGGAGCUAAAGAAAAGAAAAUUACAGCAAGAACACAUUAAAUUUGCAUGGUUGUCAUAAAUUAAUGUGUGUGUGUGUGUACAGACUUGUAAUGCUACUUACAAAGCUGGUUUCCUUCAAACAA